rnacentral:rRNA from 1 species
AGCGCGAAGCCAACUUCAAGAUAAGAUUUCCCACCGCAAGGGUAAGACCCCAGAAAGACUAUCUGGUUGAUAGGUCGAAGGUGUAAGUGCAGCAAUGUAUUUAGCUUAUCGAUACUAAUAGGUCGAGGACUUGACCAAUAUUUAUU